UGCAAGUCGAACGGAAAGGCCGGGUGCUUGCACCUGGUACUCGAGUGGCGAACGGGUGAGUAACACGUGGUUGAUCUGCCCUGCACUUCGGGAUAAGCCUGGAAAACUGGCCCUAAUACAGGAUAGGUCCACUGGUUGGUAUUGCUGGUGGAACGUCUUUGAUCCCCUUAUUUUAUUC
rnacentral:rRNA from 1 species